rnacentral:rRNA from 1 species
UACGGAGGGUGCAAACGUUGCUCGGAAUCAUUGGGCGUAAAGCGCACGUAGGCGGACCGCUAAGUCGGAUGUGAAAGCCCUCGGCUUAACCGAGGAAGUGCAUUCGAAACUGACGGUCUUGAGUAUGGAAGAGGGUCGCGGAAUUCCCGGUGUAGAGGUGAAAUUCGUAGAGAUCGGGAGGAACACCAGAGGCGAAGGCGGCGACCUGGAAAGGUACUGACACUCAACUACGAAAGCGUGGGGAGCAAACAGG